GUAGAGCUGCGUUGCCCCCUCUGGUGAGUAGAACUCUCAUAUAGCCCAACAAAUAAGCACUUGGCCAAACCCACCAAUCUGUGUCGCAAAGAGGUUCAACAAAUGGAAGGCGGGCGAGAGCAGUGGCAUAACACGAGUCUCAGGUGAGGGUGUUCAGUGUUCUCCUUCAGAGUUGACACACAAAAGGGGAGGAAAAGAAAGGUCGGGGGAUGGCAAUGACAUUAAUUAGGUGGCCGAGCCUUCUCUCAACUCAUGCUGUUCUUUGUUGUUGGCUUGACCCUGUGCUGUCUCUCCCUCUCCCUAUAUAUGAGAGGUUGAUGGAGCCUCCUUGCGAAAACCAGUAACCACCAUGCUUAUUUUAAUUAGCUUCAUCAUUUCGAUUGCCAUGCCGGACAAGUGUCAGUGCCUGUGUUCUGCCCUCUUGCACUUCCAUUCGCUUCGCGUUCUCUCCCUCCUACAGGUCAGUUCCCAAUGCAUUGCAGUAAAAUAAUGUACACGACUGGGAAUGGAGAGGGAAUGAGAAGAGGCGAGCAGAGUGUGGUACGCUGCUUGCUACCUGGGCAGUUCCUUGUAGUACUUCAUAUUAUUACCCUAUGGAAGUCACUGGGUGGGGAUCGAAUGGGGAAGAGUGAGGGACCAUGCCAAUAGCAUUGGGAUCAGACACUGCAUAAGAGGCUGUCUGUCCCUGUUGGGGGAAGGGUGGUGGGGGCAACCAAUGGCCUGCUUGGGUUGAACCAGACCAGAGCAGGGCACUGAUGCUGGCCACUUGAGCCCCAUUUGGUCAUAGGGAAGCCUUCUGCUUGUGCCACAUAGUAAUAGUUGUUUAAUGAUUUGCAGCGGGAGAGCACUCAUGGUGUGCUCUUGGGAGGGGAAGAAGCCAUCUCCGUGCCUCGGUUGGGGUACACAUGGGGGGUGUGGGGUGACCUAAACUACACUUCCCAUUAUUGUGUUGAACAAGCAUGCUCAGGAACAUGGAUGUGGCUGUCUAGUUUGAACCAGAUUCUAAAGAACCGAAUUAUAACCUCAACAACAACUCCUUACAAACUUCAUCUCCUGAGAUGAAGAUGGUUCCAUGCACCCAUGGCGAGUUUGAUAAUGGACUGGCUUUGAGGACAUUACAGCACUGCAUUGUCCCAUUCUCGUUCCUUUUCAGGAUCUGAUAAAGAAGGUGAUGGAGACGAGGGGCUUAGAGACGUCAUCGGCAUUGGUUUCAGCUUCCUCUUUGAGCAGGAUGAAAGAAAUGCAGUGGAGACCUCAACAAAGUGGCCCCUCUCUGUCACCGACCUUGAAUCAAAUUGGUGCAGAUGGCAAGCCUCAAAGGUGUUUGAUUCUUUUGAGAUGGUGCCAAUCCCGGCCGGUUGUCUCUCCAUGGUGCUGCCUCUCAGGGGAAUUAUGUGGAAGACAUGAUUUUAAAUGGAUUAGGUGGAUGAAGCCAAUUGUCUCUUCUAACAAAGAUGCUAAUCCUGCCAGUAAUGGAUGCUAGUUUGCCACAAAGUGUUAAUUAUCUUCUCCUCAUCUUUUUUCCUUUAGAUCUUUCUAGAUGUAUUUGUUUUUUUGUUGCUUAAUGAUAUUAUAUAAUGCUAACCAUCCACUUAUCUUAAAAAAAGAUUAAUAAUCAUUUUUAUUUUUCAAUAGAACAGUAGAACAGUAAGAUGUUAGUAAACAAAACAGAUGCAGGAACAUGUGUGAUAAGACACUUCUGAUGUAUCAAUAAAAUUCAUUGAAUCCAUGGAUUUAUUAUUGGAAUGUCUAGUGUGAAUUAAAUUUUACAAUUUCACGAUCUCUAUGUACUUGACACUUCUAUUUUCAUUACUGAUCUUCUCAUAACAAGUGCAAGCUUCUUUUAGUGACAAAAAGUUAGAGUAAAAUAAACAGUCAUAAUUUUUGAAAUUGAAAAACAUAUAAAUAUUGGCACUUUAUAUUGUCACUUCAAACUAUUUUUGGGUGACAUAAGAUGGAUCUUAUAUUUUUGGUAGGAGAUGAGAAGUCUUAGUUUGCUUCUUCAUGAUCCAUGGCUAAGUUCAAGCUUUAUGUAGUAGGACACACCACAUAAGUGUAAGGCUCAAUUCUACAUGCCAAACAACCUCAUUUUUGUUUGAUUGCGUCCGUUGUUGUAUGGCAUGUCACGCCAAUGUACAUGUUUGAUGGUGACUUCUACAAUAUUAGCUUAAGUUAAAUGCUUAAAAUCUCUUAAUAAUUUAAUAUCAAUGUACAUGCUUAAGUUAAAUGUGCAUAGUGUGCAUGUUUGAUGGUGAUCAACUUCUAAAAGAUUGGCUUAAUUAAAUGCUUAAGUUCUCUGCAUAUUGAUAUCAAUGAAAUCACUCCACUAGAAAUCAUGUUAGGCAUAUCACAACACAGCUGUUAUAGUGCUCUAUACUGAGAUGUAAAGGCAACGAGCUUCUACAUUUUCCCAAGCCAACAAAUAAAAUAUACGGAAAAGAUAUGGAUGAACUUAACAAACAACAUGUUCUACAUAAGGAAACAAACAUUAGGCAUAAAGAGAAAGAUAAGUGAACCAUCUCUGUUGUUCCAAGGAUGUGAUAACCUACUCCAUUGGAUCAUAGGUUCAGACUUCAACAUGAAGUCAAUGUGGUCUUAGAGAAAGCUAUAUUAGCCCGCAGUUUUGUGAUGCAUGCAUGUAAACUUAGAAAAGCAUUACCUUUCUGUAUUAACAAUGUCAACAGAGUUUUCUUCCUUGAUCACAAAUUUGAAAGAGAUGCAUUAUAUAGUACCAGUGUUCUUCACCCUACUACGAGUACUUAUUUCUUAGCGUUUGGUUGGCAAGCAGUCAAUUGCAUGUACAUGCAAUUUUCUUAAAGAAAACAUGGUAUGUUCGGAGAACAGAGUUCAGAGAAAGGUUUGUCAUUGCUAAGGUUUCAAGUAGGGUUACAUUUCUGUUGCUAUUAUGUGACGUUUCUUUCUUUCUUUGUGUUUACGUUAGUUGGAAUAUGCUAAAGUAUGACAAUGAUAUAUAGCGACAUAGCUUACUUCUCCUGCUUCAGAACUCAUCUUGUUGCAUGUAGUUACCAUGAGAGAUAAAAGAAAGAGUGAGAUAAAGCUAGUCUAACAGGCAUAAGGGCAUGAGUGUAGAUCAUAAUUACUGUAGUUUUAGCUCACCAAGAGAAGAGCCAAUGAAGAAUGAAGCGGUUCAAAGAAGGAAGAGAAGUCAGACUUGCAUAAGAUGGACAGAAGAGGG